rnacentral:rRNA from 1 species
GACGAACGCUGGCGGCGUGCUUAACACAUGCAAGUCGAACGGAAAGGCCCUGCUUUUGUGGGGUGCUCGAUUGGCGAACGGGUGAGUAACACGUGAGUAUCCUGCCCUUGUCUUUGUGAUAACUUCAGGGAACUGGGGCUAAUACCGGAUAGGAUCUCCUGCUGCAUGGGGGUGAAUGGAAAAAUUCGGCGUUUGUGUAUGGACUCGCGGGUUAUCAGCUUGUUGGUGUGGUAGUGGCUUACCAGGGUUUUGACGGGUAGGCGGCCUGGGAGGGUGACCGGCCACAUUGGGACUGAGAGACGGACCAGACUGCUACGGGAGGCAGCAGUGGGGAAUAUUGCACAAUGGGCGGAAGCCUGAUGCAGCAACGCCGCGUGCGGGAUGCCGGCCUUCGGGGUGUAAACCGCUUUCGACUGUGACGAAGCGUGAGUGACGGUAAUGGGUAAAGAAGCAACGGCUAACUACGUG